UACGUAGGGUGCAAGCGUUGUCCGGAAUUACUGGGCGUAAAGAGCUCGUAGGCGGUCUGUCGCGUCGGAUGUGAAAACUCGGGGCUCAACCCCGGGCCUGCAUUCGAUACGGGCAGACUAGAGUACGGCAGGGGAGACUGGAAUUCCUGGUGUAGCGGUGAAAUGCGCAGAUAUCAGGAGGAACACCGGUGGCGAAGGCGGGUCUCUGGGCCGAAACUGACGCUGAGGAGCGAAAGCGUGGGGAGCAAACAGG
rnacentral:rRNA from 1 species